GUACCAAAGUGGAAGAACAGCAUUUGUCUAGAUCCAGUGGUUUCCAAAGUGGGGGCAACCAAAGCAUAAUAUCAAGUGGUGUUUGUUUGAACCAAGUAUGGGAAGAUGGGUCACAUUCAGGAAACACCUUGAAGCUUCAAUAGGUACCCCUUUGAAGGAAGGCUAGACACCAAGGCAGUGAUACACCAAGAUCUUCAGGUUUCCUGGGCGGACACCGAGAUUUUUAAGUUACCCAUAUCCUAACAAGAUACAACCUGUUUUACAAGGUCCUUUCUUAUUUGUCUGGAAACUUGUUCAUGGAGACAGGUACCUCUACCCACAAAUGGAAUGUUGAAUUGGGGAACAAAGAAUUUCACUCAGGUAAUUAUAAAUUAGACUCCUCAGAGUUCUUUGCUGUUGUCCCCUUUAAUGCUGAUCUGCCCUUAAAAGUAAUAACUAAUAUAUUUGUGCUUACUGGAAAAAACAACAACAUAAUUUUGUAGCAGAACAAUAACAAUAUAAGAGUUUGAAUCUUAAAUCCUAGUUAUAGAACACUUAUAUAAACUCAAAUCUUGUCCUUUUUUAAGUAGAUAAUAUCCCAUAUACACAUACAUUAGGACAUAUAAUGGGUCUCUUCUUGAUGUAACAUAAAAAACUAAUGAGGUGUAACAAUUAAAAGUUAUCAUGAAAUUCUUCUAUGUGGCCAACCUAAUUCCUUUUUCCAAAACCUACUUAUUAUUAUUAUUAAUAAUUAGGCAAUUUUACUCACA